AAGAAAGCAAUGGGGGAUUGACACAUGUUGAUAUGUCUUAUCAAAACAAAACACACUGGAGGGUAGUAAAGACCCCUGAAAAUCCUGACCUACCAAAUCCCUGAGAUCUUCAAGUUUUCCUGCUUUUGCCACUAACUCCACAUUCUAUUUCUGUAUUAACAGCUCCUCCCUUCCAGCAUCCCCAGACUUAGGAUGCACUUUUUUCUACAACUUCCACCUUCCACAGCUCCCAGCAUUCACUUGGCUACCUAACAUGCUUUACCUAAGGAAUCCUCCUGCAUCUGAUACUAACUUGAUGGCCUUCAGUAUACUUGGAAAACUUUCCACACUGGCACCAUGUAAAAUCCAGUAUCCAUUAUGACCAUUUAUUUCACCAAAGACAAAUGCAUACACAAGCUCUCACAAUCUUCAGGAAGAAUCUAGCUUUCUAUGGUUCUAACACCAUGCCCCUGGAUAAUCCAGUGCCUUCUGACUAUUUUUAAAGAGGGUUUAAGAACUGUUGUCAUUGCCUCUGGUGUCUCAGGUCAUAAGGCCCCAGGACACCUAAAUACCUUACCCACUCAAGUUUUCUGUCUGUCUAGACUGACUGGGGUAACAGUUUUUCAUUGAUGAGCAUGCAGUGCCAUUGGAAGGCAUCACUCACCCUUCCUGACUAUUCUAAGCCCACCUCCUACCAUCUUCCCUUCCUAUUAAAGAAAUGGAAGC